AAGACAGCUUCCACAAAGGGAGUGUGGAAGGGGACCCAAGUAUGGAAUCCAGGAGAGGAAAAGCAGCUUCCACAAGUGUGUAAGGGGACCCCAGAGAGGUACUCCAGCAGAAAUAAGGGCACUCCAUAAUUCUUGUCUCUUUGGGAGAGACCAUCUCCAUCAGCUGUAAACAAACAAA